AUGCAGAUAGAACUUUGGGCAUAUUUGAUGAACAUUUAUACCCAUUUACACGAGGACAGGUUCCGGAAGAAUACUUUAUAUAUGAUCCUGCACACAAAAUGAUUUUCAAAUUCAUGCGUACCCUGUUUCAUGCCAAAGGGCUAAAUGCUGACUUAGCAAUCAUAAGUUUGGUAUACAUAAAAAGACUUCUAAAGUGUGCUGAUAUCAACAUUUGUCCAUCCAACUGGAAGAGGAUUAUCUUCGGAGCCAUUCUUCUUGCCAUCAAGGUUGGGAGCAAUGUGGCUGUGUGCAAUGAGGAUGCAAAGUCUUUGAGAAAAUGACAGUUGACGAUAUGUGAGUUUGUACAGUUUUUGUGAACUUUCUAACCAUUUUUGAAUACUUUAUUUGCUCCCAUAAACACUUUGAGAAAUACUUUUAAAGGUUACAUUAUGCAGAUAAUAAGAAUGGGCAUAAAUACCACAUACUCUUUCUCCCCAGCUUUAGAAGAACAGUUCAUAUUUUUCACUAUUCAUUGGUAGGUCUUGGUAAAUUGCCGUUGUAGUAAUCUCAUAAAUGGAAAAGUAUUUUUCUGGUGAAUGUUUUUGGCAAAUAUCUUAACAGUGUACAAUGAGAAACAUAAUAGUACAGUCAGUUUCCUUAUGGCUUUUACAAGCUGUCUGCAAGUUCUAGUCUCUUUGUGAGGAGUGCAUAUCUGGCCUUUGAAAUAAUUGUUUGCCCAUUGAUAAGUCAGAGGCCUCUGCAUUGUGAAGUAUAGCUUCACCCUGAGUCAUAACAUCGUGUAUUUGCAUUUGCUGGUGUUCUCCCGCUUUUCUCUGAAGAUCUGUUAUGUAGAAACCUUGAGAUACAGAAUAGCCACAGUUCCCUGUGCCCCUGUCCUCUCCCCAUUAGGAGUGUUGCAUCACUGGGCUGAUGAGUUAAAAGUUCCAGUGUUCCCCUCAGGCAGUCUGAGAAACAUUGCUGGGGCAUCACCCCAUGCUCACCACACUCAGGAGGUUCCUGGGGCAUUAAUGCAACCACAGCAGCCCUUGGGGGGGCCCCAAUUUAUCUAUGAGAAUGCAAGAAAUCUUGCUGAAUCGUGGAGUUGCUCAUAGACGGCAACUUGACACUGAAACAGGAGCUUCAUGGGUCUUUCUUCCAGUCUGGCCUCAUGACUGCUGUAAAGGGAAGGGUCUUGGAGCUGGUUGGUAGGGUGAGCCAGGGAGGCAUUUCCAGCAGAGGCUCUCACAGUGUCCACUAGACAACGAGAGUGGCUUUGUGGGUGACACUUAGGAAAAUCUGAAGGAACACCUCUUGAUGACAUAGAAGUAUAUGAAGCAUAUGAAGAUGAAGAUCCUCAGGCAGUGGAAAGAGGGUUUUGUUUUUUGUGGUUUUUUUGUUUGUUUGUUUGAUUCUUUGUUUUUACAUUUGGCCUAUUACUCCAGAUAAAACUGAUUCAGGAUGUAUGCAGUCACAAAUAGAAGUUUCUGCCAAUUGCGCUCCGCACAGGAAUAACAACUUUAGCAACUAUCUAAAAAAGCACCUCCAUAAGAACUGAAAAUUAUUUAAGUGUUCAUAUGACAUGGUUUUAACAUCAUAUCACUGAAAGAGGCACUGAACAGCAUAGAAAAGACAGUCUUGAAUUGUUGAUGCCACCACUGUGAACCUGUGGCAAGGAGAGAGGCUACAUACUUGGGGAAGGGAGAGCACCGCAGCUGUGGGACUUUGCCUGAACUCAGUGCUGCCUCAUCAUAGCAUAAAGCAAAACAAAGCUGAACCCACCCAGUACCCACCCACAGAAAAAACAUUUAGACUAGCCCCAACCAUAGGGGAAUUACUCAUCCCCGUGGUUGGAACUUGAGUUGUGAAAGGCUGGCUGCCGUGGGAUAAAAUAGUCUGGGGUCCUUAAUAAACCUGAAGACUGUUUAGGUCACAAGGA